GGUCCCGUAGUGGAGCGGUUUAACACGCCUGCCUGUCACGCGGGAGAUCGCGGGUUCGAUUCCCGUCGGGACCGCCA
rnacentral:tRNA from 1 species